rnacentral:rRNA from 1 species
CUAUCUGCAAGUCGAGCGGACAGAUGGGAGCUUGCUCCCUGAUGUUAGCGGCGGACGGGUGAGUAACACGUGGGUAACCUGCCUGUAAGACUGGGAUAACUCCGGGAAACCGGGGCUAAUACCGGAUGCUUGUUUGAACCGCAUGGUUCAAACAUAAAAGGUGGCUUCGGCUACCACUUACAGAUGGACCCGCGGCGCAUUAGCUAGUUGGUGAGGUAAUGGCUCACCAAGGCGACGAUGCGUAGCCGACCUGAGAGGGUGAUCGGCCACACUGGGACUGAGACACGGCCCAGACUCCUACGGGAGGCAGCAGUAGGGAAUCUUCCGCAAUGGACGAAAGUCUGACGGAGCAACGCCGCGUGAGUGAUGAAGGUUUUCGGAUCGUAAAGCUCUGUUGUUAGGGAAGAACAAGUACCGUUCGAAUAGGGCGGUACCUUGACGGUACCUAACCAAAAGGCCACGGCUAACUACUUGCCANCAGCCGCGGUAAUACUUAGGUGGCAAGCGUUGUCCGGAAUUAUGGGGCGUAAAGGGCUCGCAGGCGGUUUCUUAAUUCUGAUGUGAAAGCCCCCGGCUCAACCGGGGAGGGUCAUUGGAAACUGGGGAACUUGAGUGCAAAAAAGGANAGUGNAAUUCCACGUGUAGCGUUGAAAUGCGUAGAGAUGUGNAGGAACACCAGUGGCGAAGGCNACUCUCUGGUCUGUAACUGACGCUAAGGAGCGAAAGCGUGGGGAGCGAACAGGAUUAGAUACCCUGGUAGUCCACGCCGUAAACNAUGAGUGCUAAGGUUAGGGGGUUUCCGCCCCUUAGUGCUGCAGCUAACGCAUUAAGCACUCCGCCGGGGGAGUACGGGUCGCAGAGACUGAAACUCAAAGGAAUUGACGGGGGCCCGCACAAGCGGUGGAAGCAUGUGUUUAAUUCNAAGCAACGCGAAGAACCUUACCAGGUCUGGACAUCCUCUGACAUCCUAGAGAUAGGACGUCCCNUCGGGGCAG